UUGAACGCUGGCGGCAGGCCUAACACAUGCAAGUCGAGCGGAUGAAGGGAGCUUGCUCCUGGAUUCAGCGGCGGACGGGUGAGUAAUGCCUAGGAAUCUGCCUGGUAGUGGGGGAUAACGUCCGGAAACGGGCGCUAAUACCGCAUACGUCCUGAGGGAGAAAGUGGGGGAUCUUCGGACCUCACGCUAUCAGAUGAGCCUAGGUCGGAUUAGCUAGUUGGUGGGGUAAAGGCCUACCAAGGCGACGAUCCGUAACUGGUCUGAGAGGAUGAUCAGUCACACUGGAACUGAGACACGGUCCAGACUCCUACGGGAGGCAGCAGUGGGGAAUAUUGGACAAUGGGCGAAAGCCUGAUCCAGCCAUGCCGCGUGUGUGAAGAAGGUCUUCGGAUUGUAAAGCACUUUAAGUUGGGAGGAAGGGCAGUAAGUUAAUACCUUGCUGGUUUGACGUUACCAACAGAAUAAGCACCGGCUAACUUCGUG
rnacentral:rRNA from 1 species